rnacentral:rRNA from 1 species
GAUGAACGCUAGCGGCAGGCCUAACACAUGCAAGUCGAGGGGCAGCACAGAAACAGCAAUGUUUUGGAGGCGACCGGCGGACGGGUGCGUAACGCGUAUGCAACCUACCUUUAACAGGGGGAUAACGGAGAGAAAUUUCCACUAAUACCCCAUAACAUCGAUCAAGGCAUCUUGAUUGGUUGAAAACUCAGGUGGUUAAAGAUGGUCAUGGGUUGUAUUAGGUAGGUGGUGGGGUAAUGGCCCACCAAGCCUACGAUCCAUCGGGGGACUGAGAGGUUAGCCCGCCACACUGGUUCUGAGACACGGACCAGACUCCUACGGGAGGCAGCAGUGAGGAAUAUUGGUCAAUGGGGGCAACCCUGAACCAGCCAUGCCGCGUGCAGGAAGACGGCUCUAUGAGGUGUAAACUGCUUUUAAACAGGGAUAAAGCACAGUAUGUAUACUGUGUUGAAGGUACUGUAAGAAUAAGGAUCGGCUAACUCCGUGCCAGCCGCCGCCGUAA